rnacentral:misc_RNA from 1 species
UCCGAGUUGACCCCGGCAGUCUCCUAUGAGUCCCCGCCAUUACGCGCUGGCAACAUAGAACGAGGGUUGCGCUCGUUGCGGGACUUAACCCAACAUCUCACGACACGAGCUGACGACAACCAUGCACCACCUGUAUACCGCCCUUGCGGACCCCAUAUCUCUAUGAGUUUUCGGUAUAUGUCAAACGCUGGUAAGGUUCUGCGCGUUGCUUCGAAUUAAACCACAUGCUCCACCGCUUGUGCAGGCCCCCGUCAAUUUCUUUGAGUUUUAGCCUUGCGGCCGUACUCCCCAGGCGGGGUACUUAACGCGUUAGCUACGACACCGGAAGGCAGACCCUCCCGACAUCCAGUUCUCAUCGUUUAGGGCGUGGACUAC